rnacentral:rRNA from 1 species
UUCGAGUGGCGGACGGGUGAGUAACGCGUGGGUAACCUGCCUUACACAGGGGGAUAACACCUGGAAACAGGUGCUAAUACCGCAUAAGCGCACAGGGCCGCAUGGCCCGGUGUGAAAAACUCCGGUGGUGUAAGAUGGACCCGCGUCUGGUUAGCUUGUUGGCGGGGUAGAGGCCCACCAAGGCGACGAUCAGUAGCCGGCCUGAGAGGGUGGACGGCCACAUUGGGACUGAGACACGGCCCAAACUCCUACGGAAGGCAGCAG